AUGAUAGGGCUACUAUUGAGUGCGCGACUAUCAUACCAGAUUAUCAUACCAGACUCGAAGUAUAGCGCAGACCGCUCCAAUGCCUACAUUUAUGUUGGUAUAAUGCUUGUUCGUUCAUAUGAACGUGUCUACACCAAGGCUGUGCUUCAUUUUGCGUGGAUUAACUGUUUCAGCAUAACAGUGUCCAAAUAUUUUGAGCACAAAAAACUACGCAUAGCAUUUCUUCACAUUAUGGCAUUGCUCUUGCUCUUCCCAGUUAUCUCGGCCUUGGUAACAUUGGAACUCUUCAUAGUUGCCGAAAAGGCCCAACUCUACAGCCAUACCGAUGUCACGAUCUCCUACAUAUUACUCCUAGGGGCCAUAACCCUUGAGGUGGCAUCUCUCUUGAUGUCCCUUCUUUCCUACUUCGCAUCAAGUGAAGCACCAACAUCUUUUCCACUUGCACCUAUAGCCUUGUGUGUAGCCAACUAUGUUCACCCCGCAGGCCGACAUAGAAAACACUGGUCCAAAAUGCUUGGACAGUAUAACAUGUUCGAAUACCACAUGGAGCGAGCUUCCACAGGCAUCAUGUCAGUUGUAUCACGGUGGAUUAAAAUGACAUUUUCAGUAAUUCCCAACAGUAAAUAUCUCAAGGAGUUUUCAAGAAUCCACGUAAGUAAAGAUCUUGAGGAGUUUGUUCUGGACAAAUUGUUAGAGUUGGGAACAGGGGAGCAAGCAGGCUGGAACUUUGCUAGCUUUCGUGGACAGCUAGCGCUUGAUAGGUGGACCGCUAUGCGCACGACCAUCGAUAGCACAGACCUGCAAACAAGUGUGCUGAUCUGGCACAUUGCAACGGAGAUAUGCUACUUGACUGAAGAAAACAACAAUGACCUAAGAAGACAAGGGUGA
rnacentral:rRNA from 1 species